rnacentral:lncRNA from 1 species
AAUCUGAAACAAGAGAUGUCAAAUAGUCACUUUUGGGGUUGCUUCUGCCUGAGAGGCAGCACAAGAGACCUCUGGGUGCCAGUUUCUACACAUUGAUUAAACACUACCUGUAAGGUACAUCUUGACUUUUGAAGUUGGCAACUGUGCAGAAAUACAAAUGUAGUUGGACCAACUGAAGUAGAUCACUGUCAGCCUGUCCAUGGCAAAGGUCAGGAUGCUUUCUAGUAGGAUAUUGUCAGGGCAUGGAACAAGGCUAGCUAUUGCCUUCUGUAAUUGGAUGCCCACCAGAUAAUCUUAUUACUGCUAAACAAUAAGGUUGUUGUAAACAAGAGGAUGAGGCAACCAUGUUUUCAAAGGACUUAGAUCAGUGCUUCUUGACUCUGGCAAAGCAUUAUGUCUGGUGGAGCCUAUUCUGUGCCAUGCUUCUCUGCCAGGGCCACAGACCCGGCCUGAGCCAGGCCUGACUUAGCAACCAUAGCAACUAUCUGGUUUCUGAGAUCAGCAUCCUGAAAGAAGUAACUUCUGCCCUAAG